ensembl:lncRNA
GGAUGGCGCCUGCUUCCUGGAGGGGGCACAGCCGAGGGGCCUUGCUGUGCAGUUCUAGGGUCACAUUUCCACAUUUACUUAAUUGAAGCCUUGAGCCAGUGAGGGGUGCACAGGGCUUGUGUUUGCUUUUUAUUUCCAUAGUUUCUAGGUAAAGCAUUCCUUCCACCUCAGCUUUGGGGUUUCUGAAAACCCCUCCAUCCCUGGUUGUAGCUGGGAAGAGUGAGAAGCUGAGCCAGAGUGAGACCUCCACCCUAGCUCUGGUCUGCAGACGUGUGAUUUCCAGGAGGCCUAAAGGCCCAGCCCUUCUGUCAACAGUGACAGGAAACCUCCAGGCUGGCAGGUGCUGGUGUUAGCUUGCAUCAGAGGAGGUCUCGGGGAGCAUGGCAGACUAGGCUCGCUCAUUCUGUUGAACUCCCUUUCCCAUCUGCCCAGCCCAGUCAUUUCAAGGGCCUGACCUGGUGAUGUGGUGGCCAGAGGCAGUGUGAUCUGGUAGACAGCAUCCUCUGAUGAAGCCAGGAGGCUGGGUUCCAGGGCUGUGUCUUGCAGUGGGACCUUCCAUGUGAGAAACUGGCUCUUCUGGUUCCAAGGCCACUGCAAGGUGGCAGCCUUUUAUUGCUGUCAGGCAGGUGAAUUAUAUAGCUGGUAUCAGAGGGCCCACUCCCAAGAGAAGACAUGGCCUGCCUGAGUUCCUAUGAUGGGAGGAGGCCAAGUGGCAAUGGGAAGUUAGGUCCCUGCCUUGGGGGAAGUCUGUUUGCUGGAGUCACACCUGGCCUGAGCGACUCCCUCGCUGGUCAUGGUAUUUGCCUUCACAGAGGCCACACUGCAGUUCCUAGCAGCAGUCUGUCCUGCUCCUUACCCAGCCUAAGCUGGGUGGACCUCAAGGUGUCCAUGGCUUCCUUUGAGGAGGAGCCAGAGACUCCCCUUUAAGACUGCUCCAGAAGUUACCUGGAAGGGUGAGGUAGGCUUUCAGAGCCCCUGUGUGCUCCCAGACCUCUGCCUACCUCAGCGGUAUUGCCCUUCCUCUCCUCCUACCGCUGUUCUUUGGCUCUUGCUGUCUUCACAACAUCUCAGGGUAGCUACCCUGACCUAGCAGUCUGUUGCCUCCUUAUCCCACAACCCCGGCUUCCCUGACGGUCCUACCCUUCUGGCCUCAGGCCCAUUACCGAGGAAAGGCUUUGGCAAGUAUGUGGACAUGGCUUCCCAAGAGGACAGAAUGAUGCCGAGUGAGAGUGUAGGAGCAAUUGGGGUCACUGAAGCAGGAGGCACCCUUGGGGAGAGCUUCCUCCCAUGAGGCCUGAGAACCCUGGGAAAGAAGUUUGUGUCAAGUGAACCUCGGACCUCAAGCCUGCAGCCACUGGCUUGAUUGAAACUUGGGCGUUGAGGUCCAGUGUUGGAGCCACACCAGCCUGGGUGCAGAACCUGGCAACUGCCUGUCACUAGGGUGUGAGGGGAUAGGUGACUUCCCCUCUCUCAGCCUUAGCUUCCAAGUCUAAGAAAUGGAACCAAGUGCUUUAUCUUAAUAUGAUUUUGAAGAGACCAUGGGUUGUACUUUUCAUGGGGCACUGCGAGUGCUUUCGUUGCCUUUCUGGGAGGGUAGAAAUAAAGAGGGCCAUGUACCUGUGUGUGUGUGUGUCCUGUGCUUGGCACCUACCAAACCCUCAUCGGUGCUCUGAGUAGGCUUCCGUUGAAACAGAGUUCCACUGCUGACUGAGUUUGGGAACUGUAACCUGUGCAGGCAGCAUGUCCCUCCCUGUCCACCUCUGGAUUCUUUUUUCCUCUGCCCUAGACUCCAGCUUCCCUGCGUAACUGUCCAUUCCCCAAACACCCCUCCUUCCCUUUGCCCCAGCUGUACGUUCAUCAGAAAUGCCCUUGCCCACCACUGCCAGUCCAGAUAAUCCUCUCCUUCAAGCUCCAACACAAAUGCUGUCUCCUCCAAAACACCCACCCUGACCUCUGUGUUCUCGCCACCAGCCCCUAGGCCACUUCUGGUAACAAUGACAUUCUUUUGGGAGCCUUCCUGUCUCCUCUCUGGGGUCCCCUGUGGGUCUGGCAUACCCUAAGCCCAACAGAUGUCCACCAGUAAUUGAACAGUGUGUGCGUUUGCUGAAAUGUAGCUGGAAUUUCCCAUGUGGCUCACAUCACAGCUGACAGUAGCUGUCGGGUAUUCUGGUCACAGUGGGGAGGGCCUGGCCUCCCACCCAGUCCCGGCAGCUGUUUGAGUUGAGCCGUAGCCAGUUGGAGGGCUCAAGUGCACCUGAUCUCUGCACAGCAGCCACGCUGAGUACAGGCUGUCCUUGUCGGCAGUGGGGCAGGCACCAGGUUUCCUGGAGCUCUGGGCCCCAGCAGCCCCCAGCCAGUGUUGGCCAGAGCAGCAGCCUGGUCUCCACCCUCCGUGAAGCCUCCAUCCUAGGACAGGAAGGACAUCAUGGGUGGGGAUUGGGGCUGGCAAAGCAGUCCUCCCCUUCCUGUGGUAGGCAGGAUAAUGGCCCCAAAGAUGCCCACGGCCUCGUUCCCUAAACCUGGGGAUAUGUUGUGCUACAUGGCAAAAGGAACUUUGCAGAUUUGAUUAAGUUAAGGGUCUUGAAGUGGAAAGAUUAUCCUGAACUAUUCAGGUGGGCUCAGUAUAAUCACAAGUGUCAGAGAAAAGGAGAUGUCAUGAUGGCAGCAGAGGUCAAAGUGAUGCCAGUGCCGGGGAGUGGCCCCUGAGCCGUGGAGUGCAGACGGCUUCGAGAUGCUGCAGAAAGCGAGGGGAUGGAUUCUCCCCAGCUGCUGCUGCUGCUAAGUCACUUCAGUCGUGUCCGACUCUGUGCGACCCCAUAGACGACAGCCCACCAGGCUCCCCAGUCCCUGGGAUUCUCCAGGCAAGAACACUGGAGUGGGUUGCCAUUUCUGUCUCCAAUGCAUGAAAGGGAAAAGUGAAAGUGAAGUCGCUCAGCCAUGUCUGACUCUUUGUGACCCCAUGGACUGCAGCCCACCAGGCUCCUCCGUCCAUGGGAUUUUCCAUGCAAGAGUACUGGAGUGGGGUGCCAUUGCCUUCUCCAGGAUUCUCCCCUAGGGUCUCAAAAAAGAAUGCCUGCUGUCUUGCCAACACCUUGAUUUGGGGCUAGUGACACUGAUUUUGGAUUUCUGACUUCCAGAACCUAAGAUGAUACAUUUGUGUUGUUUAAAACCGCUAAACUCAUGGUCAUUUGUUGUGGCGGUAACAGGAAACUGUUCACAGAUUUUGGUGAAUGAGUGAGUGCUCAGUUGCUCAGUCAUGUCUGACUCUUUGUGACCCCAUGGACUGUAGCCCGCCAGGCUCCUCUGUCCAUGGGAUUCUCCAGGCAAGAGUACUGUAAGUGGGUUGCUAUCUCCUCCUCCAGGAGCCCUUCCUGACCAGGGAUCCAGCGCUUGUCUCCUGUGUCUCCUGUGUUGGAGGUGAAUUCUUUACUGUUACUGCUCUUAAUACCUAAAUGUGCAAGUGGCUUUGGAAUUAGAAUUUGGAAAUAGACAUGGAAAGAAUUUGAGGUGCAUGAUAGAUUGCAUUGAACGCUUCCUCUGAGCAGUGAGGUGGCUGGGGAAGUGGGAGGGAACCCUUAUACCCAGGAGACCUUAGCUGCUUGGGCUCCCUCAAGCUGGCCCUCUGCUGGAGCGAGAGGACUAGAAGCUGCCCAGGGUGGGACUGAGAGAGGCCAGCCUCGGGUCCGGGCGUGCUGGGGAAUAGGACUGGGAUCGGGAGAGCAAAGCUGGCCUCCAUAGCCCAUAUCCAGUGGCAUGAGGGCCACCGAGGACCUCAGAGAGGACCUCAGAGACUGGGUCCAGGCCUGGUUCUGACUCCCACAAAGUCGCAUGGCCAGCCCAGCACCCAGGAGUAUGUGAGAAUGAGCAGAGUGCAAGGUGAGCAAGUACUAUGACUGUGAAUUGAGCACAACAGCCCUUGAAUCCAGGCUGAUCCCUCCAUGGAAGCCAUGGAGGUCUGACUCCUUUCAACCCCUAAGCAGGGUCCAGCUCCUGCUACCAGCCUGGGCCGGGCUGUGUGGCUGGGAUAGAAUUGGGUCAUUCCUAGAGGUCUCAAUGUGGGAGACCUAGGUUCACUCCCUGGGUUGAGAAGAUCCCCUGGAGAAGGGAAAGGCUACUCAUUCCAGUAUUCUGGCCUGGAGAAUAUACAGUCCAUGGGGUUGCAAAGAGACAUGACUGAGGGACUUUCGCUUAACACUUAAGGUUCUCAGCCUCAUGAUACCCUGAGCUGAAGUGGCUACCUGGAACCUUCGACACAUUAGUCCACCUGCAGCCGACAGUUUGUGCACAGAUCUGGGUCCCAUGGGAAGCUCUGCUGGUGGUUGUGAGGAGAGCAGGGUUCCCCUUUGCACCCCUCUCUGAGAGGACUGGUUAUCCGUCACUACCACUCAGAGAACCUUUAGUGUCUUUGACCUCAUAAUGAGAAAACCGCUAUGGAAGAGCUUCAGAUUCUGGGACUACUCCCCUUCUAAGACACUUCCCUCAAUCAUCCUCCAGGGAAACAGUUGGGAAAGGCCAGUUUUACAGUUCACAGAGUAGGAAAGACAAGGGAGCCUCCCUCAGCCUUGCUGGGGCCCUGAGCUGGCCUCCAUCUGGCCCUGGCCUUGACUGAGGAGAGACGGGGAAGCGGCUCAGAGCAUCUCUGCCCAGUGGAAGGCAGGCCUUGUGGUGGCUCCUUCCAGGGGCCAAAGUCUCUCUCGGAAACACUGACUCUCAAAGUAGGGAAUGCCACCAUAUUGCCCCUGGUGUUCUGGGUCUAUAGCCCUCUCCUGGGGCGUGCAUUCUAGGGGAAUGGAGGGGUCAGACUUCCAGCCUGCUGAGGCCAAGGAGCAGAUUAUGGGGGCUUGAAGCACCCACAAAGAUCCCUGUGUACAAAUGAGAGCAUUGAGACUCAGUAGGCCAGGGCUGGGACUCAAACCCAAGGCUGUUCUCUGCCUCCCAGCUUCCAGCCCUUCAUCCCCUGCAGAUCCCCAACCCCUUGAUUUCCAGGAGUAGUUCUGUCUGCCAUUCCUGGGAGUCAGUAUGAGACCAGGCUACGUGGAUGAGCAGAGGGAACCCUGAGCUAGAGCUGCCUGGGCCUUCUUUCCUUUGGACCUUGCAGCUGGGCGAGGUAUCCGAGCAGCACCCCCAGGCCUCCCCCCUCCUCUUCCAUCUUCUUGCCAUCAUUUCUGAGGCUCCUACUGGGCACUGAGUCCCAAGCAACUGCUUUACAUUUAGUGGUGUUAAUCCUCACAACCCUACAGACUGGGUUUUUAAUCAUAUCCAUGAUGAGGAAACCAAGGCUCAGCAGGCUGUAGUCAUAGGUCAGGUCACACUGCUAGACUGGAAGGGAGGGGCAGGUCACCACCAGUGCCCAUGUGAAUGGUCAGACUGAGGUCAGCAUAGCUAGGUUCUGGGCUGCCCCUGUAACGCUUAGUGCAGAGGUCCACCACCGAGGCCUGUAGAUCUACAGGGCAGGAGCAGGG